rnacentral:lncRNA from 1 species
CACCAAUUCUCAGGGGGCCCGUCAAAUUCCAAAGCUGUCUGGAAGGACCACGGAGACAUUCUCUGGGCAGAACACAGCCUGUCCUAAUGCUGCCCACACUCAUGGGCCGGGGCUCAAUGUGACCCUGUUCCUCCCCUGGAGCCCAGGCAUCUACCCCACAGCACCCACUGCAUGCUCCCCUUUUCCUCUCAGGGUUUCCAAGGGGAGAGCAGCCCUCAUGGCCCCCCAUAAGUGGUAGGACCUCAGCUAGGUCUCUCCCCAGGAGGGAACGGCUCCCAGACCCUGGAGUUAAGUCUGUCUGGCUCUCUUCUCUCAGUCACACACCCCUGCCCCGGCUUGCAUGUCUGGAACAGGUAGCUAGGGACGUAAGAGGGCCCAGGAAUCUCUCUGUUUAAUUUGGCAGCACGGAUAGCUGUGGCUCCUCACCUCUCCUUUUCUUUUAGGGUGAUCAUGGGAUUCAAGGGAAGGAUGUUCCUGGUCUGAGGGCUUCCCAGGAGACAAAGGCCUCCUAGGCACUGCUGGCUCUCCUGGACCCCCUGGGCUCAUCGGUCUAUGGAACAGCCUGGAGCAGUGGGAGCAGAUUGGGAGCCCGGAGCUCAGGGACCCCAGGGACACUUUGGAGCCAGAGUGUGCGGAGCCAAAGGCAAUAAAGGAACAAGAGGAUUCACGGACCUACAGGAGACAAAAGAGAAUAAAAUGUGGAGAAUACCAGGAUUUUGUGAGGGGGAAAUGAAGUUUUUGACCCCAAUCUCUUGGCUGCUGGAGCCAGGAGAGACAGGAUCUCCAGGAAUCCAGGGUGAGCCAGGUGUCAGGGUCUUGGUUUUCCUGGAGACCCUGGCCUCCUGGAAGAAGGUAGCUCAUGAUCAGGACAGUGUUAAGGGUGACUACGGCAAGGAUGGUGAGCCA